CACUCAAUGAAAAGCUGAUAACAAAAUGUGGCUUCAGUAAGUAAAGUUGCUGACCCCUGCUCUAUACGAAUAAAAAUAAUUCAUAAGAGAACUUGAAAACCUCCUCUACCCCUCAAUUGGAGCACAGCCUACAUUUUAUAUAGGUAUUAAUCACUAUUUUAAGAUAAUAUGAGCAGAAUAUAAAAUUAAUAAACCAAUAAUGAAGAAAACAAGGAUAUGAGAUUAGGAAAAUGUAUUUAAUAUUGUUUAUAAUACAAACAUAAAAUAUAGUAGAUAAACAUAAUAUAUAGCGGAUAAACAUCUAAAUAUACAGCCUUGAACAAAACUUAAGACUAAAGACCUAAAACCAGUCAUACACUAAGCAUUUUGAAUGGUAAUGAUUGAUAAAAUUCAAAUCUGUUUAAAAGUCAUCAGUUUGAAAUUUGAAUGUCAAUUGUCAUUCAUACACCAUCACUUAUGAUUGCCAAUCAUAAUGUGUAGUGUAUGCUAAAUAUUAUAAGGUCUAUGGGUCAAAAUAUAUAUUAUAAACAAAUGCUAUUUUUACAAUUCUUAAAUGGAAAAAAAAGUGUGAACUGCUAAACUAUGACAAUCAUGAUUAUAUUUAAUUGUUUUAAGAAUUUUGAGUGACCUAAUGGCUUUGAUUUUUCAUUGAUAAUUUUAACAUAAUUGUAUAUAUUCUGAAAUUAAAUUUGAAGUGUAAAUUAAAAAUUAUACAAAAAGUAUUUCUAAGUUUUAUAAAUUAUGGUGUAAAGCACUGUUUAUAAUAUUCAUACACAAAUAUGAACUAUGAUAGAUAAGUAAAUUACUUUAAUAUAUAUAAAUUAAAAAAAACAAACAAAUGUUUAAACA